GCUGCAAAUCCUACAGCACUCAUGACAACUGCAAUUAUUUGAUGUGACUGUUUAUUUGUUUAAAGUUGAUCUUCCUCACUAGAAUGCAACAGUGGUCGGCAAACU